rnacentral:tRNA from 1 species
GCCGAUGUAGCUCAGCUGGCAGAGCAAGUGAUUUGUAAUCACUAGGUCGGGGGUUCGAUUCCCUCCAUCGGCU